rnacentral:piRNA from 1 species
UAAUUACUCCAUUAUUUUUCA